rnacentral:lncRNA from 1 species
GUGGUGAGGUUUAUUUGAAAUAGGAAAAAUUUCAAAAAAAUUCCUCUAUGGUUUCGUAUUUUCUCACUUUAAUACCCUGUGGUUUAAAAUGUAUCAAUUUGCCUUCCUGUGGUUUCUUUUUUCUCUUUUUCUUAUCAAUUUUAUUUUUUUUUCUUAAAUCAGUGUCAAAGUUAAAAUUAAAGAGUACUAAAGUGAAUAUUCGAUAAACCUAGCUAGGAUACCUGAAAUUUUUUGUAUAUAAUUUAAUGAAAUAUUAACGAAAAAGCUACCGAAAAGAUAAAAACGAAACCACAGGGGGGCAAAUUGAUACACUUUAAACUAUAUGGUACUAAAAUAAGAAAAUAUGAAACUACAGGGAUUUUUUGAAGUUUUCUCUUUGAAAUAUGACAAUUGAAUAUACAGAU